rnacentral:rRNA from 1 species
UACGUAGGGUGCAAGCGUUAAUCGGAAUUACUGGGCGUAAAGCGUGCGCAGGCGGUGCUGUAAGACAGGCGUGAAAUCCCCGGGCUCAACCUGGGAACUGCAUUUGUGACUGUAUAGCUAGAGUACGGUAGAGGGGGAUGGAAUUCCGCGUGUAGCAGUGAAAUGCGUAGAUAUGCGGAGGAACACCGAUGGCGAAGGCAAUCCCCUGGACCUGUACUGACGCUCAUGCACGAAAGCGUGGGGAGCAAACAGG